AUUGAACGCUGGCGGCAGGCCUAACACAUGCAAGUCGAGCGGAGCGGCGGACGGGUGAGUAAUGCCUAGGAAUCUGCCUGGUAGUGGGGGAUAACGUCAGGAAACGGGCGCUAAUACCGCAUACUAUCAGAUGAGCCGAGGGCGGAUUGGCUAGUUGGUUGGGUAAAGGCCUACCAAGGCGACGAUCCGUAACGGGGCUGAGAGGAUGACCAGCCAAACGUGAACUGAGACACGGUGCAGCCUCCAACGGUCGGCAGCAGGGGGGAAUAUUGCACAAUGGGCGCAAGCCUGAUGCAGCCAUGCCGCGUGUAUGAAGAAGGCCUGCGGGUUGUAAAGCUCUUUCAGCGGGGAGGCGUUACCCGCAGAAGAAGCACCGGCUAACUCCGUGCCAGCAGCCGCGGUAAUUC
rnacentral:rRNA from 1 species